GACGACGCUGGGCGGCGUGCCUAACACAUGCAAGUCGAGCGGGGUUGAAGCGAGGGGUAACUCGAGUUUCUACCUAGCGGCGGACGGGUGAGUAACGCGUGGGCAACCUGCCUCAAGGACUGGGAUAACAGCUCGAAAGGGCUGCUAAUACCGGAUAAGCCUAUGGCCUCGCAUGGGGCCAUGAGCAAAGGGGAAACCCGCCUUGAGAUGGGCCCGCGUCCCAUCAGCUAGUUGGUGAGGUGAAGGCUCACCAAGGCGACGACGGGUAGCCGGCCUGAGAGGGUGACCGGCCACACUGGGACUGAGACACGGCCCAGACUCCUACGGGGGGCAGCAGUGGGGAAUCUUGCACAAUGGGCGAAAGCCUGAUGCAGCGACGCCGCGUGAGCGAAGAAGGCCUUCGGGUUGUAAAGCUCUGUCUGGAGGGACGAAGGAAGUGACGGUACCUCCGGAGGAAGCCACGGCUAACUACGUG
rnacentral:rRNA from 1 species